rnacentral:lncRNA from 1 species
CCUUUGACCUGUGGCUGCAAUGCUAUAGUCUCUGCCUCCAUCUUCAUGUGGUCUUCGUCUCUGCAUGUCUCAAGUCUCCCUCUGUGUACCACUUAAUAAGGACUUGUUGCUGGAUUUACGGUCCACAUGGAUAAUCCAGGAUGAUCUCAUCUCAGAAUCCUUAAUUACAUUUGCAAAGGUUCUUUUACCAGGUCUGCCAACCAACUCUGGCAGUAACUAGAUGUUCAUUGUAGAAGACAGAUGACAGAGGAAUCACAGUUAAUAUUU